UAGCACCCAAAUCUUAAACUAUCCCGUGGUCUACUGUAAGUUUAUUCAUAGACUGAUGACUGCUUCCAGGCAUUUCUCUAAUUAUUCUAUAGCAUUUCUUCACAUUGGACUGUUAAAGGUAAACACACAAGAUGAAGUGAAGCUUAGAUUAAAAAUGAGUACCUAGAGCUCUAAGUUUAAACUACUUAAUAGUUUAUCUCACUUUGAAUUUUUUAAAAAGUUGAAUCAUUUGCCACUGAUUCCAGCUACCCGUACAAUGCUUCAUUAGUUUGGUUUUUGAGGCCAUGUAAAUACCCGACCCUGAAAUUCAGACUAAGUAAGCCUAUCAGCAAACUCCCUGUGUUACACUCAAGAUUUGCUUCUAAAAUCUUCAGCAUACUCUAGUAUUAACGGGGUGUUCAGAUGUGACUUGUCAUGUACUGUACUCAAAGGUUCAUUGAUCAGUGACUGUAUUGUACUGUAUGAAUAAUCAUAAAUUGCCUUGUAUUGUUUAUAAUAAGACUGUACUAAGUACCACACAGAUUUCCAUGUUCCAAGUUUGUCGGCAAAGCAUGUGGGCAGUUAGGUCCUGAAACUAUGUGGUGCUAACUCUUACAUAUCUAAUGGUGCUUUUGUGGAUGCUAACUGCUGACAUGCUGGGGAGAAAAAAAGCUUGAAGUUGAAAAGUGUCUCAUCCGUUCGUAAAAGUAAAAAACAACCAUGAUUUAAACUUGAAUUGUUUCACAGUACCAUUGACAAUCCGGUGUUUUAUAUGUGUGUACUUUUUAUUGGGUUUUCAGAUGAUUCUUCAAAAAGCAGCUCCCCCAUUUCUCCUAUAAAUGGAUUUGUAUUUGACCCAGGCAAUAGCCUUUUCAUGUUGACUGCUUAUCCCUGCAUCUCUGUUUGAAUCCGGUGAAUAUUCAGCCUGCUUAUGUAUUUUCAGGGGGGUGGGCAGGGGAAGUCACAUGAGAUGUUCUUAUUCACACAGUCAUUCCAGAAGAGUAAGGCAGUUUCUUCUUAAAAAACACUUAUACUGAGGCCAGAUCAUAUAUAUUCUAGAACAAUUAACCAUUGGGUCUGAUCAUCCUGCUUAUUAUGAACCAUAAAGCUGUUUCAUACAUUGUAGUCAAAUAUGACUGAAUAAACACUUAAAAGGAAGCUGAAACCAAUCAUGGCUCUUUGCCUAGUGUACCUGUAUAACACGUUUAUUUGCUGCAAUCACGUGUAACAUUUUUAGAUGUACAUAUAAAUUGUACAUCUUAAAAUAUGCCUGCAAGUAGAAGCGGAAUGAUAAAAGUGAAUCAAACCAAAGUUUUCAGAGGUUGAGAGUUUAAUGAAUAAUAAAAUCAUGUCUCUAGAGGUCUAAUGAAGGCAAAAUGGAGCAAAGCUUAAUUUUCACAUCAAACGACGUGCUUUAAUGCUGCUCUGUAUCCAUUUAUGUGAAAAGCUGCACAUACCUGUAGUGGUGUUCAAACAUCUAUGAAGGGGGGAGCAUAAUUCUGUUUCCCACAUGAUCUUAUUUCACACAAGAAUGGGAAUUGCCUGAUGACAUGAAUUGGCCUGUUGGUGAUCGUUAUAUAGGCUCUACAAUUUAUAGAAUCCUGGCAAAUCAAAAUACUGUAGUUCUGUUCUUUUACAGUUCACCUACACUUCGAAGAGAUGGGAAUAUUCCUUGUCUGCCAGCAGUGUACUUACUACUUUUUAAAUAAAAUGAAUAGAAUUGCUCAAUUUUAUCUCAAAUACUAUAAGGGAGAUCGCAACACGUUAAAAACCAAACAACUCUUACGGCUCUGGAAUAAAACCUGCCCCCAAUUCCAAUUUUAACCCACUCAGGACUCCAGGUUUAAAUGACCAUCAAUUGGACAUACUAUUGUACAACUAACUCUGUUUCCAAGUGUAAUUAAGAGGGUGGGGGUGGGGUAGAUAGCACAAAGCAUUGUGAAUGUGGAUUCAACAAAGAGGCAGAGAAGUAAUAUCCCUAGAUUGUGUGAGGGGGAAAGAGAGGAGGUAAUGUCCAAACCCUGGUGCAAAUAUAAUGGCAUCAAGUUAACUUCAGAAAUACUUAAAACACCUCUAAAAGUACAGUAGUAUAUGCCAUGCGUAAUGUAGACUAAAUUCUGCACUGUACCAUUUCAGACAGGAGGUAAAAGGUAAGUUGCUUUUUUUUUUUAAUGCUACCUCGUGUAAAAAAAAACAACUCCCUGGUAACUUGUCUUGCCAAGGAGAAAGGCAUGCUGUAUGCUACAUGUAGGAAGUUACCUUUGUAAAAAAAUUCAUAUUUUUUAUUUACUCAUACAGGGGAGCAUUCAAAGAUACAUUUCUCCCCACCUGUUGUCUUCAACUGGUACCGUCCAGAAAUAAAGCACCACAUUCUUCAUCGUAUGUAAAAAAACCACACAUUCCUUACUCUGUGAAAGAUGAUGUCCAGUUAUACAUGUCUCCUUAUGAGGUGUCUGGAUAGGUACCCAAAGGAAGAAAACUCAUCACUUAAAAAAACAAAAAAAAAGCCAAAGUGUUUCCUGCCUCCAUUGCCACUGCUCUUCCUUGCAAACAUAUUUGUCAUACCGGAUUUCCUAAAUUUUUUUGCUAGAAUAUAUAUUUUUUAAAAAAUACUGAGCUGCUUUUUGGAGGAAUAUUCAUAUAUAGAUAUAUAUAUAUUUGUCAGUUUGACAAGUCUAUUUGCCCCAUUAUCAACUGAAUUUACAUGUUGUUUGCCACUGUUUGUUCUGUCUUACAAUAAAUUGCUUACUUGUGUAGUCUU